rnacentral:rRNA from 1 species
UACGGGGGGGGCAAGCGUUGUUCGGAAUCACUGGGCGUAAAGCGCACGUAGGCGGCUUUCUAAGUCAGGGGUGAAAUCCUGGAGCUCAACUCCAGAACUGCCUUUGAUACUGGAGAGCUUGAGUCCGGGAGAGGUGAGUGGAACUCCGAGUGUAGAGGUGAAAUUCGUAGAUAUUCGGAAGAACACCAGUGGCGAAGGCGGCUCACUGGCCCGGUACUGACGCUGAGGUGCGAAAGCGUGGGGAGCAAACAGG